rnacentral:hammerhead_ribozyme from 1 species
AUCCAGCUGACGAGCCCCAAAAUAGGGCGGAAUGCGCGUUCUGGAU